rnacentral:rRNA from 1 species
UACGUAGGGACCGAGCGUUGUCCGGAUUCAUUGGGCGUAAAGAGCUCGUAGGCGGCCACUCAAGUCGAAUGUGAAACCUCGAGGCUCAACCUCGAGCCUGCAUUCGAUACUGGGCGGCUAGAGUCUGGUAGGGGGAUCUGGAAUUCCUGGUGUAGCGGUGGAAUGCGCAGAUAUCAGGAGGAACACCGGUGGCGAAGGCGGGAUCCUGGGCCAGUACUGACGCUGAGGAGCGAAAGCGUGGGGAGCAAACAGGG